CUGGGCUCAAUCAGCUCUAAAAAACAUUAUUUGAGGAUCUAGUUUUCAGCAAAGUAUGCAAUUCGUUACAAUAUCAUUAAAUUCAAUAAACCAAAUAAAUCAGUAACAUGAGAGAAUAUAACUAUAUACAAUAGGAAAUGUUUUUUAAAUGUCUAGGAAAUAAUGCCUUUCAGUGCACAAGUAUUUUUUGUGAUUUUUUUUUUUUGCUUCAUUCUUUCUUCCCUCUGUUCUCUGAAUGCUGAAGAGAGAGGAAUGGAGGCUAGAGGUAGUGUCACAUUACCUCAAUGUCCCAUGUAAACCAGAGCCAAGCUUGCUGAGUCCUCUCCCAGAGGAGUUAGUGGUAUAUAGAUAUAGCCCAUCUGUGGCUAGACAGCGUCCCAGGUCAGUAUCUGCAAAACACAGGCACCAAUGGAAUUCAGUAGGAGGUAAAUGAAAGAAACAUCAAAGACAGCUGAAUAACCUGUAGGGGCAGGGAUCAACAAAAGAGUGGACAAAACCAGGCAAGAGAAUUAGGAUGCAAAAAAAGUGGACCAAGUCUUUGUUUUGCAGACUUUUGCAAAUUCAGAAAUAGUGAUGUCUUCAGAGAUCUGAUAAAAAAAAAAAAUUUAAAAAAAAAGACUUAAAAUGAACAGAUCCAUUUAGCUUGAAAAAUAAAUGCUCAGAUUUACUUUAUGGCUCAAUAAAAAUAGAUGUACAGUAUGCCCUGUUCAGCUUCCAUCACACGUCAGAUAGUCAUCUGUGAGACAGAGAGACAUCACUCCACUUCCUCUCUUUUAUCCACUUAAGAUCUUUAGUUUCAACUCAAGACAAAAUGUUUUCUCUAUAUGUGACAUCGAAUGAAACCCAAAGAGGAACAAUGGUCUUUCCACCCUUGAUAAUUGCUUGGAUUUAAGAUGCAUUUCAAACAAGUUCAGUGAAUAAAUAAAACAGGAAGGAAGUAUUAUGAUGGCAAGUGAGACAAGGAGCAUCUUUUCCACAACUUACAUUCCAGAGAACUAAAAACUUUCAACCAUGGCUGCAUAUUAUUUAUAUCUUUUCAUUUUAAGUAUCACAAAAACUUUUUCUGAAAUUGUUUUCUACCUUUACUCUCUGCUCCUCCAGCAGAAUUAUCUGGUGUGGGCAGCAUGUCC
ensembl:lncRNA